rnacentral:rRNA from 1 species
ACGGAGGGUGCAAGCGUUAUUCGGAAUUAAUGGGCGUAAAGCGCGUGUAGGCGGUCCUGCAAGUCUGAUGUGAAAGACCCGGGCUUAACCCGGGAAGUGCAUUGGAAACUGUGGGACUUGAGUACUGGAGAGGAUGGGGGAAUUCCUGGUGGAGAGGUGAAAUUCGUAGAGAUCGAGAGGAAUAUCAGUGGCGAAGGCGACCAACUAGACGGUAACUGACGCUGAGACGCGAAAGCUUGGGGAGCAAACAG